UCGGAUUGCAGUCUGCAACUCGACUGCAUGAAGCUGGAAUCGCUAGGAAUCGCGGAUCAGAAUGCCGCGGUGAAUACGUUCCCGGGUCUUGUACACACCGCCCGUCACACCAUGGGAGUCGGAUAUGCCCGAAGUCAGUGACCCAACCGCAAGGAGGGAGCUGCCGAAGGUGGAGCCGAUGACUGGGGUGAAGUCGUAACAAGGUAAC
rnacentral:rRNA from 1 species